ACUUGCUGUGGACUAGAACUGCAAUCAGUAGAGGUAUAGAAACUGUCAGUUGCUGGAGGAGGAUCCAUUUGGAAUAAGGCAGAAUGAUCUUUUCCUUCAGUGGAGUCUCUGUGGGGGACAGAAACUAUGAGAAGUUUUCUCACCAUCACCCUCCAAUUGUGUAGGAAGGAACUUUCAGAAAUGGAGCAAAUAUCAGACCCAAGUUUAACC
rnacentral:lncRNA from 1 species